UACGGGGGGGGCAAGCGUUGUUCGGAAUUACUGGGCGUAAAGGGCUCGUAGGCGGCCAACUAAGUCAGACGUGAAAUCCCUCGGCUUAACCGGGGAACUGCGUCUGAUACUGGAUGGCUGGAGUUUGGGAGAGGGAUGCGGAAUUCCAGGUGUAGCGGUGAAAUGCGUAGAUAUCUGGAGGGACACCGGUGGCGAAGGCGGCAUCCUGGACCAAUACUGACGCUGAGGAGCGAAAGCCAGGGGAGCAAACGGG
rnacentral:rRNA from 1 species